CCUACGGGUGGCAGCAGUGGGGAAUAUUGGACAAUGGGCGAAAGCCUGAUCCAGCCAUGCCGCGUGUGUGAAGAAGGCCUUCGGGUUGUAAAGCACUUUCAGUGGGGAAGAAAGCCUUGGGGCUAAUACCCUCGAGGAAGGACAUCACCCACAGAAGAAGCACCGGCUAACUCCGUGCCAGCAGCCGCGGUAAUACGGAGGGUGCGAGCGUUAAUCGGAAUUACUGGGCGUAAAGCGCGCGUAGGCGGUCUGAUAAGCCGGUUGUGAAAGCCCCGGGCUCAACCUGGGAACGGCAUCCGGAACUGUCAGGCUAGAGUGCAGGAGAGGAAGGUAGAAUUCCCGGUGUAGCGGUGGAAUGCGUAGAGAUCGGGAGGAAUACCAGUGGCGAAGGCGGCCUUCUGGACUGACACUGACGCUGAGGUGCGAAAGCGUGGGUAGCAAACAGGAUUAGAUACCCCAGUAGUC
rnacentral:rRNA from 1 species